GUCACCUAGAUACAAACAGAACACCCACACAAGGUAGUGCACAACUAUAAUCAAUGAAAACAAUAUAAUGGUGCACCGUUGAACACAAACACACACCUUAUAAUAAAUAAAAACCUUAAAGGUGCUCUAAGUGAUGUUGGGUGACAGCACUUUGUGUUAACGUUUAAAGUAUUGUAAAACAAAACUAGGCUAGCUCGUCCCUCCCUCAUCCUCAUUCAUCAUUAUUU